rnacentral:rRNA from 1 species
CAGUAGCCGCGGUAAUACGUAGGGUGCGAGCGUUAAUCGGAAUUACUGGGCGUAAAGCGUGCGCAGGCGGUUAUGCAAGACAGAUGUGAAAUCCCCGGGCUCAACCUGGGAACUGCAUUUGUGACUGCAUGACUAGAGUACGGCAGAGGGGGAUGGAACUCCGCGUGUAGCAGUGAAAUGCGUAGAUAUGCGGAGGAACACCGAUGGCGAAGGCAAUCCCCUGGGCCUGUACUGACGCUCAUGCACGAAAGCGUGGGGAGCAAACAGGAUUAGAUACCCGCGUAGUCCCUGUCUCUUAUAC